rnacentral:rRNA from 1 species
AACGAACGCUGGCGGCGUGCCUCAUACAUGCAAGUCGAGCGAGAAAGUCCGCAAGGAUGAGUACAGCGGCGCACGGGUGAGUAACACGUGGGCAAUCUACCUUCGAGUGGGGAAUAACCCGGGGAAACCCGGGCUAAUACCAAAUAUGCCUACGAGGUCCUCGGAUCUUGUGGGGAAAGACGGCCUCUCCUUGGAAGCUGUUGCUCGAAGAUGAGCCCGCGGCCCAUUAGCUAGUUGGUGAGGUAACGGCUCACCAAGGCCGAGAUGGGUAGCUGGUCUGAGAGGAUGACCAGCCACACUGGAACUGAGACACGGUCCAGACUCCUACGGGAGGCAGCAGUAGGGAAUUUUGCGCAAUGGGCGCAAGCCUGACGCAGCAACGCCGCGUGUGGGAUGAGGGCUUUCGGGUCGUAAACCACUGUCGGAGGGGAAGAAAAGCUAUGCGGCCAAUACCCGCGAAGCUUGACGGUACCCUCAAAGGAAGCACCGGCUAACUCCGUGCCAGCAGCCGCGGUAA